AGUUCAUGACGAAUUGAACAUCUCCCGCUAUUGCUUAAGUCUACUUCUUGCUCAACCUUGAGUGGGAGUGCAGAACUGAAGGGAUGAAAAGGGCCACACAGAGAGGAUUAAGAUUAAGGAUGAAAACAAAAAUCCUUCAACAUCUUGGCUGCUACUUCUCUCGCCAGUUAGAUCAAUUUCUCUUUAAACAUUUGGAAGAGGAUAGAAGUUGUCAUCACUCAUCUAUUGUUGAGAAGUAGCCUCACAUUAACAUCCAGUCUGUCUCUGCCAUGCAAUGAUACAAUGAGAAGAAAGACAUUUUCAAACCAAGAAGGAAUUCCUCACCAGGCACUAAAUCUUCC